AACGAACGCUGGCGGCAUGCCUAACACAUGCAAGUCGAACGAUAAGCCACCUUCGGGUGGUGGACAGUGGCGCACGGGUGAGUAACACGUGGGGACCUGCCUGAUAGUACGGAAAAACAGUUGGAAACGACUGCUAAUACCGUAUACGCCCUUCGGGGGAAAGAUUUAUCGCUAUCAGAUGGACCCGCGCUAGAUUAGAUAGUUGGUGAGGUAAUGGCUCACCAAGUCGACGAUCUAUAGCUGGUUUGAGAAGAUGAUCAGCCACAUUGGGACUGAGACACGGCCCAGACUCCUACGGGAGGCAGCAGUGGGGAAUAUUGUACAAUGGGCGCAAGCCUGAUACAGCAAUGCCGCGUGAGUGAAGACGGCCUUAGGGUUGUAAAACUCUUUCGCCAGGGAAGAUAAUGACGGUACCUGGUAAAGAAGUCCCGGCUAACUCCGUGCCAGCAGCCGCGG
rnacentral:rRNA from 1 species